ACGAACGCUGGCGGCGUGCCUAAUACAUGCAAGUUGAGCGCUGAAGGUUGGUACUUGUACCAACUGGAUGAGCAGCGAACGGGUUAGUAACGCGUGGGGAAUCUGCCUUUGAGCGGGGGACAACAUUUGGAAACGAAUGCUAAUACCGCAUAAAAACUUUAAACACAAGUUUUAAGUUUGAAAGAUGCAAUUGCAUCACUCAAAGAUGAUCCCGCGUUGUAUUAGCUAGUUGGUGAGGUAAAGGCUCACCAAGGCGAUGAUACAUAGCCGACCUGAGAGGGUGAUCGGCCACAUUGGGACUGAGACACGGCCCAAACUCCUACGGGAGGCAGCAGUAGGGAAUCUUCGGCAAUGGACGAAAGUCUGACCGAGCAACGCCGCGUGAGUGAAGAAGGUUUUCGGAUCGUAAAACUCUGUUGGUAGAGAAGAACGUUGGUGAGAGUGGAAAGCUCAUCAAGUGACGGUAACUACCCAGAAAGGGACGGCUAACUACGUG
rnacentral:rRNA from 1 species